rnacentral:rRNA from 1 species
AUGGCCUUGGAUUGGAACAUUCCUAGGGUGGGAGAUGUUGUUAACCCUGGACCGGAAUGGCUCUUCACCCUGCUGGAACCACUGGAUGAGGCGACGAGAAUGAUCGUGCUAAUGACUAUGUGGAGGAUUUGGCACGUCCACAAUGAAAUCACACAUGACAAGAAGCCGCCUCCUACAGAAGCCUCACGUCGAUUCUUGCAGGGGUACAUUAAUUUGUUGCUUUGUCUCCAACAGCACCCCAAUGGAGAUAUGAUCAAAGGAAAAAUGGCGGUGUCUAUACCGCAGUCUGGGCCCCAAGUUCACCAUGCGCCUAAGGAAGAGAGCAGAUGGGUCGCGCCAGCGCUGGGGCGUAUGAGGCUCAACACCGAUGGAAGCUUCGUAGCGGGCUCGGGUUCAGCGGGAGGUGGUAUGAUCCUGCGGGACGACCGGGGAAGUAUUAUUUAUAGUGCAUGCAGACAACUUUAUACAUGUGAUAACGUUCUGGAAGCUGAACUCUCGGCGUGUAAGGAAGGGCUGGAGCUAGCCCUGCACAGGACAGAGUUGCCAAUCACGGUCGAUCUGGAUUGCGUGGAGGCCGUGGCGAUGAUCACAACACAUUCAGAGGAUCGUUCAGUGCAUCGUGGCCUCGUUGAGGAGAUUAGGAGAAUGGCGUUUACCGCUGGACGAGAGAUCUUAUUUGCUCUAUACUGUCGCUCGCAAAAUAAAGCUAGUCAUGAACUUGCCUCGUAUGGGCGUAGGACACCCCAAACCGCUGUUUGGUUCCACUCGGGGAUAGACUCAGUUGUAAGUUUGGCUUUGGCUGACAAGCCACCUUGA